CUUUCCUUGUGCACUGUGUAAGAAGACUACUGUUAAAAUCACAAAACAGUGAGUACAGGGGAUCUUGAGCCUGUAUACGUUUGGCAGAUUGGUUGAACUGUGGUGAUUUUUUUGGCCAGAGCAACUUAUGAAGGUCUGAAGGCCAUCUAAAGAACAGAAGAACUGUGAUUUGUGUCAAUGGAGGGAGUAUACACUUCCAACCCCUGCCCUCUUCCCAGCCCCAAAAUCAUCCAUCCUUGAGGACCUGGAGUUUUGGCCAAUGAUUCAUCAACAGAGGGAAUUCCUGGUGUGGAAACUGCUUUUGCCCUGAUACAGAUUGGCUUCUCCUCUGUAACUUGUACUCUGAGAGAAUUCUCUGGGAUGCUAAAAGUGUAAGUGAGCUCUGAGGGACUGCAGAAGCCAGUUAGUCUGACAGGUUGAGAUGAGGAAACUGAGGUCCAGGGAGAUUGCCUUAGGUUAUACAGGUGAUAAGCACUGGAGGUAGGAUUUGAACCUGAUGUCCUCUGAUGAUGGAGUCAUGGCUCUUUCCACUGUUGUACAGGAUCAGGACUUGACUGUGAAGCCUAGCCCUUCUUUAAGCUAUGUUGCCUCUCUUUGGUUUUGUAUAUUCCCUUCAUUUGGAGCUCAGUUGUGUCUCUUAUUACAGAAGCAAUAAAAAUUCUUCAUUGAUAUGAUUGUAGAUAGACAGAGCUGUAACUAGGGCAGGUACACUGGAGGUUUGCCUCAAGGUA